GGGCGGGGGCGGGGGCGGGGUCGUCAACCUCGAGAGCCUGGAGGCCAAGAUGGCCAGCAUCGAGGUUUCGCUGGCUGGUUCCCGGCGGAGAAGCGCGGGCGCACGUGACGUCACCAGGGAACUGGACGCGCUACGCACCGCGCUCAGUGACAAAGACACGCUCAUACAAAGCCUCAAGAAGCAACUAAGCGCGUCGCUGAGCGCGGCGCGGCUGGCUG